CCAAUAGCGUAUAUUAAAGUUGUUGCAGUUAAAAAGCUCGUAGUUGAAUUUCGGGGUUAGUACGCUGGUCGUGCCUUCGGUAUGUACUGGUGUUUCUGAUUCCUACCUUCUGAAGAACCGUCAUGUCAUUAAUUUGGUGUGGCGGGGAAUCAGGACUGUUACUUUGAAAAAAUUAGAGUGUUUAAAGCAGGCUCGCGCUUGAAUACAUUAGCAUGGAAUAAUGAAAUAGGACGUUCGAUCCUAUUUUGUUGGUUUCUAGGAUUGACGUAAUGAUUAAUAGGGAUAGUUGGGGGCAUUAGUAUUCAAUUGUCAGAGGUGAAAUUCUUGGAUUUAUUGAAGACUAACUACUGCGAGAGCAUUUGCCAAGGAUGUUUUCAUUAAUCAAGAACGAAAGUUAGGGGAUCGAAGACGAUCAGAUACCGUCGUAGUCUUAACCAUAAACUAUGCCGACUAGGGAUCGGAUGAUGCUAAUUUUUUAAUGACUCAUUCGGCGCCUUACG
rnacentral:rRNA from 1 species